rnacentral:rRNA from 1 species
UACGUAGGGGGCUAGCGUUGUCCGGAAUCAUUGGGCGUAAAGCGCGUGUAGGCGGUCCGGUAAGUCCGCUGUGAAAGUCGGGGGCUCAACCCUCGGAUGCCGGUGGAUACUGUCGGGCUUGAGUACGGAAGAGGCGAGUGGAAUUCCUGGUGUAGCGGUGAAAUGCGCAGAUAUCAGGAGGAACACCAAUUGCGAAGGCAGCUCGCUGGGACGUUACUGACGCUAAGGCGCGAAAGCGUGGGGAGCGAACAGG